rnacentral:rRNA from 1 species
UACGGAGGGUGCAAGCGUUGUCCGGAUUUAUUGGGUUUAAAGGGUGCGCAGGCGGUCUUUUAAGUCAGUGGUGAAAUCCUCCAGCUCAACUGGAGAACUGCCAUUGAUACUGGAAGACUUGAGUAUAGUUGAGGUAGGCGGAAUUGACAGUGUAGCGGUGAAAUGCAUAGAUAUUGUCAAGAACACCGAUUGCGAAGGCAGCUUACUAAACUAUAACUGACGCUGAGACACGAAAGUGCGGGGAUCAAACAGG